AAUGCAUUUAGUUUAAAUUUUAUUUAUCAAUACCUGCGCCGCAGCACCUUUAUGGUGCACCAUACCCUCUCAAUCGCCGGCGACGCGGUUUCUGUCCAAACGUAAACGUUUCAACACUUCCACUUUACAUACACACCCUCAUCUCCUCCGUCUACUAAAUUCGACGCUCUCCGUUCGAAAUCUCCUCCUAUUUCAUUACGUGGGUUUCGGAACAAAUGUUUGGUAUAGCAUUUUAUGAAGGGUGAAAAAGUUACCAAUUAUUUGAGGAAAAUUGAGUUAAUAAUGGAAGUUAUUGGUUUACCCUAACUUUAUUAAUGUUCAUUUUUCUAACGAAGAAAUGAAGGGUUUAUAUUUUGGUGAUUGGGUUAGUAUGAAGAUAAAAGAAGCAAAAGUAAAUUAAAGCAGAUAUGGCCUUUCAUUUUCACUAGUUGCAACAGCCUCAGCCACUGUCUUGAACUUGCCACUUCCAUCUUUAGCCACCACAACAUUUGCCUUUAUGUCCCCAACUGAAGACUCCAAAAGCCUCCUAUCCUUGCUUGUAAUCCACGACGGAAAAUCGCCAUUUAAUGUUUCAUCGACAAAUUGGUCAUGACCCUGUUGAGGAAAAACAGCAA